rnacentral:rRNA from 1 species
GGGUUGUGAGGUUAAGCGACUAAGCGUACACGGUGGAUGCCCUGGCAGUCAGAGGCGAUGAAGGACGUGCUAAUCUGCGAUAAGCGUCGGUAAGGUGAUAUGAACCGUUAUAACCGGCGAUUUCCGAAUGGGGAAACCCAGUGUGAUUCGUCACACUAUCAUUAACUGAAUCCAUAGGUUAAUGAGGCGAACCGGGGGAACUGAAACAUCUAAGUACCCCGAGGAAAAGAAAUCAACCGAGAUUCCCCCAGUAGCGGCGAGCGAACGGGGAGGAGCCCAGAGCCUGAAUCAGUGUGUGUGUUAGUGGAAGCGUCUGGAAAGGCGCGCGAUACAGGGUGACAGCCCCGUACACAAAAAUGCACAUAUUGUGAGCUCGAUGAGUAGGGCGGGACACGUGGUAUCCUGUCUGAAUAUGGGGGGACCAUCCUCCAAGGCUAAAUACUCCUGACUGACCGAUAGUGAACCAGUACCGUGAGGGAAAGGCGAAAAGAACCCCGGCGAGGGGAGUGAAAAAGAACCUGAAACCGUGUACGUACAAGCAGUGGGAGCACGCUUAGGCGUGUGACUGCGUACCUUUUGUAUAAUGGGUCAGCGACUUAUAUUCUGUAGCAAGGUUAACCGAAUAGGGGAGCCGAAGGGAAACCGAGUCUUAACUGGGCGUUAAGUUGCAGGGUAUAGACCCGAAACCCGGUGAUCUAGCCAUGGGCAGGUUGAAGGUUGGGUAACACUAACUGGAGGACCGAACCGACUAAUGUUGAAAAAUUAGCGGAUGACUUGUGGCUGGGGGUGAAAGGCCAAUCAAACCGGGAGAUAGCUGGUUCUCCCCGAAAGCUAUUUAGGUAGCGCCUCGUGAAUUCAUCUCCGGGGGUAGAGCACUGUUUCGGCAAGGGGGUCAUCCCGACUUACCAACCCGAUGCAAACUGCGAAUACCGGAGAAUGUUAUCACGGGAGACACACGGCGGGUGCUAACGUCCGUCGUGAAGAGGGAAACAACCCAGACCGCCAGCUAAGGUCCCAAAGUCAUGGUUAAGUGGGAAACGAUGUGGGAAGGCCCAGACAGCCAGGAUGUUGGCUUAGAAGCAGCCAUCAUUUAAAGAAAGCGUAAUAGCUCACUGGUCGAGUCGGCCUGCGCGGAAGAUGUAACGGGGCUAAACCAUGCACCGAAGCUGCGGCAGCGACGCUUAUGCGUUGUUGGGUAGGGGAGCGUUCUGUAAGCCUGCGAAGGUGUGCUGUGAGGCAUGCUGGAGGUAUCAGAAGUGCGAAUGCUGACAUAAGUAACGAUAAAGCGGGUGAAAAGCCCGCUCGCCGGAAGACCAAGGGUUCCUGUCCAACGUUAAUCGGGGCAGGGUGAGUCGACCCCUAAGGCGAGGCCGAAAGGCGUAGUCGAUGGGAAACAGGUUAAUAUUCCUGUACUUGGUGUUACUGCGAAGGGGGGACGGAGAAGGCUAUGUUGGCCGGGCGACGGUUGUCCCGGUUUAAGCGUGUAGGCUGGUUUUCCAGGCAAAUCCGGAAAAUCAAGGCUGAGGCGUGAUGACGAGGCACUACGGUGCUGAAGCAACAAAUGCCCUGCUUCCAGGAAAAGCCUCUAAGCAUCAGGUAACAUCAAAUCGUACCCCAAACCGACACAGGUGGUCAGGUAGAGAAUACCAAGGCGCUUGAGAGAACUCGGGUGAAGGAACUAGGCAAAAUGGUGCCGUAACUUCGGGAGAAGGCACGCUGAUAUGUAGGUGAAGUCCCUUGCGGAUGGAGCUGAAAUCAGUCGAAGAUACCAGCUGGCUGCAACUGUUUAUUAAAAACACAGCACUGUGCAAACACGAAAGUGGACGUAUACGGUGUGACGCCUGCCCGGUGCCGGAAGGUUAAUUGAUGGGGUCAGCGCAAGCGAAGCUCUUGAUCGAAGCCCCGGUAAACGGCGGCCGUAACUAUAACGGUCCUAAGGUAGCGAAAUUCCUUGUCGGGUAAGUUCCGACCUGCACGAAUGGCGUAAUGAUGGCCAGGCUGUCUCCACCCGAGACUCAGUGAAAUUGAACUCGCUGUGAAGAUGCAGUGUACCCGCGGCAAGACGGAAAGACCCCGUGAACCUUUACUAUAGCUUGACACUGAACAUUGAGCCUUGAUGUGUAGGAUAGGUGGGAGGCUUGGAAGUGUGGACGCCAGUCUGCAUGGAGCCGACCUUGAAAUACCACCCUUUAAUGUUUGAUGUUCUAACGUUGACCCGUAAUCCGGGUUGCGGACAGUGUCUGGUGGGUAGUUUGACUGGGGCGGUCUCCUCCUAAAGAGUAACGGAGGAGCACGAAGGUUGGCUAAUCCUGGUCGGACAUCAGGAGGUUAGUGCAAUGGCAUAAGCCAGCUUGACUGCGAGCGUGACGGCGCGAGCAGGUGCGAAAGCAGGUCAUAGUGAUCCGGUGGUUCUGAAUGGAAGGGCCAUCGCUCAACGGAUAAAAGGUACUCCGGGGAUAACAGGCUGAUACCGCCCAAGAGUUCAUAUCGACGGCGGUGUUUGGCACCUCGAUGUCGGCUCAUCACAUCCUGGGGCUGAAGUAGGUCCCAAGGGUAUGGCUGUUCGCCAUUUAAAGUGGUACGCGAGCUGGGUUUAGAACGUCGUGAGACAGUUCGGUCCCUAUCUGCCGUGGGCGCUGGAGAACUGAGGGGGGCUGCUCCUAGUACGAGAGGACCGGAGUGGACGCAUCACUGGUGUUCGGGUUGUCAUGCCAAUGGCACUGCCCGGUAGCUAAAUGCGGAAGAGAUAAGUGCUGAAAGCAUCUAAGCACGAAACUUGCCCCGAGAUGAGUUCUCCCUGACCCUUUAAGGGUCCUGAAGGAACGUUGAAGACGACGACGUUGAUAGGCCGGGUGUGUAAGCGCAGCGAUGCGUUGAGCUAACCGGUACUAAUGAACCGUGAGGCUUAACCUUACAACGCCGAAGCUGUU